CAUUUCCAGCUCCAAAUGCCAAAGAGAAAGAAAGGAACAGAGAAGAAAAAAAUAGCGAAAGCUGGGACUAUCACCUAUUUAGCAGUCCCCAAACUGGCCGGAAAAUAGAAGGGGGGAAAGUGGGACACGCGCUUCCAAGGAGGAAAAGGAAAGAAGACAGCAUCCACAUCCUUCCUCUCCAGCUUCUCCCUAGAGUUCUUCGGGCGAAUUGGAGAGGCGGGCGCUGCGCUGGGGAAAGUUUGUCCCACCCGCAUUUCGCAGCUGGCUGCGAGGAAACGAGGAGGAGCGGGAAGGUAGAGCUCGGAGCCUGCGGCCGCAAGGAUAGCCAGCACCGCGCUUACCUCGCAGUCCUCGUACUUGAUAUUAUCCGUCAGUUUCCAAAGCAUUUUCAUGGAUCGGCGUGAACGGAUUUGCCCCCUUCUCCGCCUCGUACCCAAGUGGAGCUACUCUCUGGCUCUUUACCAACAGCCUAAUCGCCUCAUUAGCAUAUCAACAAUAGUCCAAUUGCUCGCCAGCACCGCAAUCUGCGGCCGGCCGCUCCGACCCAGGUAUAAAGGUCUCUCGGAGCGGCGAAUUUGCUCCUAGAGCGCACGCCUGCCCGUGAGCCCAGGGAAUCUCCCCUGAGACCAGCCGCGCGCCCCGGUCCCCGCCGCCGCGCCAUUCUGCCCCUCUCCUCUUCCUCUCCGUCUCCUUCUCGAGGGAGAUGCCCUCCGCAAAAACCCGGCACCGUGCAGGGUCCAAGAGGCUGCGCCUGGGGCUCGUCUUUCACCACCUCUCCCUCACCCCUGCCUGCGCUAACCGCGCUGUCCUUUCGGCCCCGUCCAAUUUUAUUAGAAAUUAUUAUCCCUUUCGCAAUUAAAUAUAAUCAUCAAACCAAGACCGGCAAAGUCACUCCAGGAUUUCUGCCCAACAAGAGAUCGCCUCCGCUCGCGGCAGCCACCAUCUCGGGCCGCAGCGCCUUGGGAGUUUUAUUGGCUUUGCGCUUACCCCCCCAUCCCCCCCCACCCCACCCCCAGGUUGAGAAUUUUGCCAAACAGCUCCAGUCGCUCGGCUGGGGUUUGCGAUCCUUUAAUUGCUGCGUGUAAAAUAAAAAUUGUACCCCGAAGAGGUUAGUUGACAGCUCCAGGGGUUAAGUGAUUUUCCUCUCAUUUGUAUGAAGCUAGGGCUGACUGAUAAUUCAACGUGGUGUUGGGGCUAAGGGUUUCGUAGGUGCGAUGUGGACAAAAUACAGAACUCCUACGGAGACUCACAGUCGCUCCUGGAGUUGUACGGAAAUACCGACAUGUGUGCUUCGUGUCAUGCAUGCAUCAAAAUAAAUCGCUAGGAACCAACUCUUCGCUGUGCUAAUCUGCUCCAGUUUUCCCAAGAUCCCCCUUUUUAAUUAAAGCAGGGAGAGUUCCUUCAUGAUUUGGUGAUGUUACUAAAGCGGGCGCGCUUGCGGCGCAGUGCCCGGCUGACGCGGAACCCGAGGCCCCGGGGCCACCCCCUGGUCCAGGUUGGCCAGUCCAGGCUUUCCCGGCUCCACACAGGGACUGGCUCGCCCCAGCGGGGCUUUAUAGAUGUUUUCCUUCUGUUUUGGCGAAUUGUUUUAAAGAAGAAAUUAAAAAGAAAGACG